CUCUUCCAUUGUCCUCAGGAAGAGAGGACAUGCUGGUGUCCAGAUUUAAAAGGAUCAGCGGGAGGAACACUCCUUUUAAUGUCAAGGUUGUAGUUAUUGUUGCCGACCACCAUGGCCAUCAGCUCGCAGGGCUGGAACAGCGACAGGAUCUCCCCCCCGCAAACCUUCAGGAAGCCAGCGGAGAAGGCAGAGUACUGCUCGCUCACCGAGUCUGAGAACACGUAGAGCAGGUUCAUGGGAGUUGCAGCCGGUUCAUCCAGCCUGAUCUGAGAUUGUUUACAUCGCAGUGAGGUCUCACUCCAGAGUGUCACUCAGGUUCCCAUGGUGAAAUGUUGGCAGCAGGUGCAAUCUCCAAGACAAAGCCAGAGCCUGGUUAAUAAUACAGCUGCAUAUGUCCUGCACUGCACCCCCUCUGCUCAAAGCUCGGAGGAAGACGCGUCACCUGGCCUC